AGUAAACUUAAGUUGCAUUUGGAUAGAGUGGCGUGGGGUGUGUGAGUGUGAAUACGUGGAGCCGAGUCAGCAUCGCACGCCCCACGACUCAAAAAAAUAGCUUAUUCCUUACUUUCCUCGAUUGAAGAGCUUCCUUGGAGCAACACAAUUGAAUUGAAUUAGAUUCAAUCCAAACAAACGCGUUACCUUAUCUUCUUUUCUUUUUCACCCUUUAGCUGUCAUUUACUCCUUACCAGCUCAUACAUAUGUCUCAUCGAAUUCCUCUCCUUUUAUACUUUCUAAACUUCUAUUUUUCUCCAUUAUCCAUUCUCUUCUCACUACUACUUUAUAUGUCAAUUUUGUUCUUUAACUUAAUCACAUGAGACGAGUGCAAAGCGGGACAAUCCAUUUUCGUCAGAGGCGAAGAUUUUGACGGAGGUAAAGAUUCAAUUUACAAUUACAACGACAAAUUAGACAUGGGCGGAAGUGGAAAGUCGGAACAGGGAAGUAGAUGCAAAAUCCAUCUCCGAUUGUCAUACUUAUUUGCUAUCUAUAUAUGUAUUAUAUAGUUAAAUAAGUUUUUAGUCUCCAUAAAAUUCAAUUAUUUUAUUUUUAGUUUUUUAAAAAAAAUUUCGUCAACUUUUAGUCCUUUUAAAUUUUUUUAUUUUUAUUUUUGGUCUAUGAUUUUAAAUCAACUCUUGUGUAUCUUUUGAAUUUUUGAAUAAUAUUCUGCAGUAAUGUUUAGGA